AGGGCACCACCAGGAGUGGAGCCUGCGGCUUAAUUUGACUCAACACGGGAAAACUCACCCGGCCCGGACACUGGAAGGAUUGACAGAUUGAGAGCUCUUUCUUGAUUCAGUGGGUGGUGGUGCAUGGCCGUUCUUAGUUGGUGGAGCGAUUUGUCUGGUUAAUUCCGAUAACGAACGAGACUCUAGCCUACUAAAUAGAUCGUUGGCUUACAAACGCCAAUGAGACUCCUUAGAGGGACAGGCGGCGAUUCAGCCGCACGAAAUAGAGCAAUAACAGGUCUGUGGUGCCCUUAGAUGUCCGGGGCCGCACGCGCGCUACACUGAAGUGAUCAGCGUGCAUUCUCAGCCUACUCUGCCAAGAGUGGGAAACCCAAUGAACCUUCUUCGUGAUUGGGAUAGGAGAUUGUAAUUAUUCUCCUUGAACGAGGAAUUCCCAGUAAGCGCGAGUCAUAAGCUCGCGUUGAUUACGUCCCUGCCCUUUGUACACACCGCCCGUCGCUACUACCGAUUGAAUGUUUU
rnacentral:rRNA from 1 species